UCUCUGAUAGUAUAUUGGUCAGUACACGCGCCUGUCAUGGGUAAUCGUUCAACUGUGCGCGCGAAAACUGGGUUCGACUCCCAGUCAGAGAG